rnacentral:tRNA from 1 species
UAGCUCAGUUGGGAGAGCACCUCCCUUACAAGGAGGGGGUCACUGGUUCGAGACCGG